rnacentral:lncRNA from 1 species
GUGUUAUCUAUGAUACGUAUCAUAGACAACGGUUUAAAAACCGUUAUGUAUGUGAGAAUAGAUAACGGUACGAGACGCUCAUACAUAACGGUAUGAAACCGUUAUCUAUAACGAUUAUACAUAACGGUUUAUACCGUUAUGUAUGAGGAUUUUUCCGUUAUGUUUUGUAUUUUUUUUGUUUUUUUUCCUAUCAUAGUUAACAGUUUUUUUUCUAUACAUAACGGUAUGAAACCGUUAUCUAUAAUGAUUAUACAUAACGGUUUAUACCGUUAUGUAUGAGGAUUUUUCCGUUAUGUUUUGUAUUUUUUUUGUUUUUUUUCCUAUCAUAGUUAACAGUUUUUUUUUCUAUACAUAACGGUAUGAAACCGUUAUCUAUAAUGCUUAUACAUAACGAUUUAUUACCGUUAUAUAUGAGAAUUUGUCCGUUAUUUUGUAUUUUUUUUUAUUUUUUUCCAUCAUAGUUAACAGUUUUUUUUACUUCUUAUAACGGUUUUUGCACCUUUUAUAACAGUUUUUUUGCACUUUAUAUAAUUGUAGUAUAUUUUUAAAUUUUGCAAUUUUUAUAAAACGACAAAAUGAUAAAAUCAACAAUAACAAUAUUAUAUAUCAUCCAAAAUAUUCAUACAUUAUCAUCCAAAUAUAAUGAAAACUUCACAUAUAUUCUAUUUAGC